rnacentral:rRNA from 1 species
AAAUGAAUUGACGGGGGCCCGCACAAGCGGUGGAGCAUGUGGUUUAAUUCGAAGCAACGCGAAGAACCUUACCAAGUCUUGACAUCCCUUGACAGCCACAGAGAUGUGGUCUCUCUUCGGAGCAAGGAGACAGGUGGUGCAUGGUUGUCGUCAGCUCGUGUCGUGAGAUGUUGGGUUAAGUCCCGCAACGAGCGCAACCCUUGCCUUUAGUUGCCAGCAUUAAGUUGGGCACUCUAAAGGGACUGUCGGUGACAAAUCGGAGGAAGGUGGGGAUGACGUCAAAUCAUCAUGCCCCUUAUGACCUGGGCUACACACGUGCUACAAUGGUCUGUACAGAGGGCAGCGAAGCAGUGAUGCGGAGCGAAUCCCAGAAAGCAGAUCUCAGUUCGGAUUGCAGGCUGCAACUCGCCUGCAUGAAGUCGGAAUCGCUAGUAAUCGCAGGUCAGCAUACUGCGGUGAAUACGUUCCCGGGCCUUGCACACACCGCCCGU